rnacentral:rRNA from 1 species
GAUCAUGGCUCAGGACGAACGCUGGCGGCGCGCCUAACACAUGCAAGUCGAACGGAGUUGUGUUGAAAGCUUGCUGGAUAUACAACUUAGUGGCGGACGGGUGAGUAACACGUGAGUAACCUGCCUCUCAGAGUGGAAUAACGUUUGGAAACGAACGCUAAUACCGCAUAAUGUGAGAAGAGGGCAUCCUCUUUUUACCAAAGAUUUAUCGCUGAGAGAUGGGCUCGCGGCCGAUUAGGUAG